UGUUGAGGGGAUCUGUUUUGGUGGCCUUAGGAUCGCAUCUCUGCUUUUUGCGGAUGAUGUGGUCCUCUUGGCUUCAUCGGAACGUGAUCUGCAGCUCUAAUGUGAGC